UGGCCAGACUGGUUCAUGAUGAAAGAGAGGCAGCAGUGGCUCAAAUAAACACAUAUUUACAUCCCAGAACGCACAACAAGGAGAUGAGCUACAGCAGCAGAUGACCACAUCUCUGGAUGUGCAGAAUCAUUGACAAGACUCCUUUCAACACUUACGAGGGCCAACAGUGCCGCACACAGCACCUCCGCGGCCCAACAGCUGACUGUGAGGGCAGGGCAGAGUGACCUGGGCCUAUUAUUGCAACCAGGAGCAGACCCAUCAGUGAGGUGUAGAGGACAGACUGGGAGAUGUCAGCCGUCUCUCUCUGAAGACCGUUCUGAGACACCAAGGUUCGACACAGGGUCUCACAGGACCCGUCCACGUUGACAGCACUGGCUCCAGGCAUCCUAUUCUACUGGCAAAACCUCACACGUGUCUAUCAGCAGGGACCCGGAGCAGAUACAAGAAGAUUCCACAAAGAAAUGCAAGUUGUUCUUGCACCACAGACAGAGGAAGAUUCAACCCCUGGAUAUUUUUCUUCACAUGCAGGUGGGAGCAGCAGGAUGUGGUCAUAAAAAGUGUUGUCCUUUCUUUUCUGGAGGAAAACUUUAUUCACAGCUGAGAAAGAACAGGAAUAAUGUGUGAAUCAUUAUUGCCUGAGGGUAAAAUCCUCAUCUUGAGCCAUUUGGACAGAUGCAGUCUGACAGUCACCUCAAAAAACACAUUUUAUCCAAAUGUCCAGUGAUUAAAGGUGUAAAACUAUAAACUGAGCCCAGUUAAGAGUCGGUUAUAUAAACUGUCCUCUGCAAUAAGAAUGAUGCGAGAAGUAGUAAAAGCAAAUGAAUGCAUCGGUUUGGACUCACCUGCUCCUUUGCUCUGUUUGUAGACAAACAGUCCCAAGCAACUGUUCCCAUCGCCUGCUGAGCUGUUAAAAAUGCAUUAAGGGGACAUCUACUGUUUCACUGUAGGCUACAGCUGAAAAGGAGAGAGGGAGGAUAAUCAUCCCUAAUCUUUUCUAUGUAGAUCCGGUUGUCUAUAAUUAGACGUUACUCGGUGUAAUUCUCCACAAGUGCCACAAACAAGCUUUAACAUGGCAAAUUUAUAUAAUAAUAACAUCAUACAUUUCAGGGAUAGUUCAGUUUUUUUUUUUAAAUGUGGUCGUUAGAGGUACUGAUAUAUUCAUCACAUCCCUAUCUAUCAUAACUAUCAUAAGACAGACAUGAACAUGCUUCUCUCCAUUGACUUUGGUUCUGCAUGUGUUUACAAAGCAACACUAACCUCAGUCUCACAGCACCUGUCCCACAGGGCCUGAUGUCUCUUCUGCCAUCAGGUACAGGAGCCUCCGUGCUAAAUCAAAUCGGUGAUGCUGAACAGUUUCUCCCCGCAGGCAGGAUUAUAAAUGGAUUGUGACUAGUGCCCUUACCCGACCAGCUGAAUUAGCACAAAACGGCACUUCAAUGGCAAAACAAGUUGGUCCACACUGGCACUUUAGCAUAUAUGUUAUGUUCUUUUUUUAAAUGUUAUUUGUUUUAUCUUUUUUUUUUACCUAUUCUGAAUUGUGUUUUUCUGUGGUACUGUACGACAGGGGGAACGGAAUAAUAAUAAUGCACAAGAAAUGACAAUAAAGAAAAUAGGAAAACAUAUAUUUUAA